AGUGAACGCUGGCGGCGUGCCUAAUACAUGCAAGUCGAACGGAGUGGCGCACGGGUGAGUAAUAUAUAGCUAAUCUGCCCCUUGCUGGCGGACAACAGUUAGAAAUGACUGCUAAUACUCCAUAGCAAGAGAUGGGACUAUAUCGUAUCAGCUAGUCGGUGGGGUAACGGCCUACCGAGGCCAUGACGCGUAACUAGUAUGAGAGGAUGAUCAGUCACAUUGGAACGGAGACACGGGCCAAACACCUACGGGAGGAAGCAGUAGGGAAUAGUGCGCAAUGGGGGAAACCCUGACGGAGCAACGCCGCGUGGAGUAUGACAAUUUGCGGGGCGUAAACUCCUUUUGUUAGGGAAGCGUUACCUAACGAAUAAGCACCGGCUAACUCCGUGCCAGCAGCCGCGGUAAUUC
rnacentral:rRNA from 1 species